AACCUUAUGGACCUGCGGGCGUAUACCUGCGGAGGGAUCAUUACCGAGUGUGACCCUCCAUUAAAAAAGGGGGUACCUCCCGUCCUUUGCAGGGCCCUUUGGGGCUUUUUGAACUUUGCUUCGGCGGGUUACCCCGCCGGAACACCCUCAAGAAAAUCUUUUUAUAAACUGUUGUCUGAGCACUUUUACGAAUAAAACAAAACUUUUAACAAUGGAUCU
rnacentral:misc_RNA from 1 species